rnacentral:rRNA from 1 species
UUGGAGGGUUUCCGCCCUUCAGUGCUGCAGCAAACGCAUUAAGCACUCCGCCUGGGGAGUACGACCGCAAGGUUGAAACUCAAAGGAAUUGACGGGGGCCCGCACAAGCGGUGGAGCAUGUGGUUUAAUUCGAAGCAACGCGAAGAACCUUACCAGGUCUUGACAUCCUUUGACCACUCUAGAGAUAGAGCUUUCCCUUCGGGGACAAAGUGACAGGUGGUGCAUGGUUGUCGUCAGCUCGUGUCGUGAGAUGUUGGGUUAAGUCCCGCAACGAGCGCAACCCUUAUUGUUAGUUGCCAUCAUUUAGUUGGGCACUCUAGCGAGACUGCCGGUGACAAACCGGAGGAAGGUGGGGAUGACGUCAAAUCAUCAUGCCCCUUAUGACCUGGGCUACACACGUGCUACAAUGGGAAGUACAACGAGUCGCUAGACCGCGAGGUCAUGCAAAUCUCUUAAAGCUUCUCUCAGUUCGGAUUGCAGGCUGCAACUCGCCUGCAUGAAGCCGGAAUCGCUAGUAAUCGCGGAUCAGCACGCCGCGGUGAAUACGUUCCCGGGCCUUGUACACACCGCCCGUCACACCACGAGAGUUUGUAACACCCGAAGUCGGUGAGGUAACCUUUUUGGAGCCAGCCGCCUAAGGUGGGAUAGAUGAUUGGGGUGAAGUCGUAACAAGGUAGCCGUAUCGGAAGGUGCGGCUGGAUCACCUCCUUUCUAAGGAA